UUCGAACUUAUAAAUGCAUUUAUUUGUGUUACUUUUGUUAUUUGUUUUUAUAAUUAAAAUAAUUUCAUUGUAGUUAUACUUGUGUACACAGCAAAGGAGGUGACGGUGAAAUUGGUGGAGGUUUUUGGAUUUAGAAUUGGUGCAAUAGAUAAUAACAACAACAACGCCGAAAACAAUGGAAAAUAUCAUGAUAUUGGAACACAAAUACUUUGCACAAAUGGCGGAUUACAAUAGCUGCGUAGGCAUGAUGAACAAGACAACAACAAAUCACAUCGGACAUUUAGAUUAGCAGUUGCACAACCUCUUUCCGACGAGCUGAAUCCUUUGUUGAUGUACAUAUGGGAUAGGAUUGUGUGAAAUUGACAUCAAACAAUAUUGGUUGAUUAGUUUCGUUGGAUCCUUACAGGAUAGUUAUAAGGAAAUCGUUCGCGUUUAGUACUAAUGUAUUCAUUUGAUAAUUCAUAAUUUAAAUGUAAAAUUUGUUAAAUUAUACAAAUGAAUGUUCGAAUACUAAUAACAGUCGUAAUAGUAGUGGAAUUUUAUUUGUAUUGCAUAACAAGAAAUAAAUAAAA